GAAUAUGGAUCUUCAUGAGCUCAACCCAAGGAAAAUACUUUUCAUUUAAUGGUAGCUAUGGACACAGCCCUUGUCUCUCUGAAGACUGCCUAGCCUGUUUUGAGCCUGAUGUUUUUCUACAUAGCUAGCCUAUGAAGGCUGAGAUGGAGAGGGGACUGGGAAUACAAUCACCUCUGAUGGCUGAGCCAGGUCUCCCCAGACUGUUGAGAACUAUUAGAAAGAUGACUCCCACCAAGCCAGCAAAUCUUGCAUCUCUGGCAACCGAGCUAUGCUCAAACUGAGAAAUAGCAUCGGGAGUUCACGCAUCCAUGGUAGCCUUUGUCCUGGUACCAUUUAAAUCUCUGGGGAUACGAGGUUCUUUCCAAUGCCAGCGGGUCAGACUGCCCUCAUGAACAAUGAUAGUUAAGUCUUGGAACACUCUUCCCUCUUCUAACUCCCCAGUUAUACAUUUCCCUCCCUGUGUCCAGUCACUGAAGCUGAAAACGGUCUCCUUUUGUGGGACACAGCGCCUUCUUCUAAAAUGAGCCGCAAUCAUUGGCUCUCCCUGCUUCCUCCCUGCUCAGAUGGAAAAGCCUUUAAACUGAGUUCCCGGUGAUUUUCCUUUCUCCUGGAAACUUUCAUCAUCGAAUUGGGAAAUGUUUCAGAAGCAAGAGACGGUGAGAAGCAGAUUUAUGCAAAGAGGGAGAAGUAAGCAGAGGAGGUGAGGAGGGUAACUCCAAGAGGCCUGGGAACUGCGUGGUAUCAUCUCCAGUGUGGGUCUCAUUCCCCCGGUGACCUUUGGCACGUUAAAUGAAGGAAAACUGGUAGGCUCAGCAUUUUUGUCUACCCUGUCAGGACUUUCCAACCUCGACAUAUUUCCUUUAUCAGCCUUUGAGGCUGUCAGAAAGCCCCUAGAAUAUUUCGACUUUUAAAUGCCAUGUCCAAAUUAAUGAGUUCAGGCGAUGAGAAUUCCUGUUGGCGUGCAUAUGCAUCCCUAUAAGGAGAAAGGUACCAGGCAGUGUCUUCCCAGAAAACAGCCAUGUGUCAGAUUGCAUCUACCCAUUUACAGAGUUCCAAGAGGAAGGGUCAACUCUGAGGGAUGUUUGAGGUUCCUUUAUUUACAGUCAACGACUUGCCGUUUAAGAACAAUGGAGGAGAAUAUGGGUCAUAUUUAGUAGGAGAAAAAAAGGAGAAUACAUUGAGGAGCUGACUUCUACAAAUUCUUGGUGAACUAUGUUUUAUUGGUGGGGAGAUAUGUGAAUAGAUACCUUAAAUAAUUCAGCAUCUUUAAGCAUGAAAAUGGAGAAUUAAAAAUGCCAACAUCUUUUUGCUAAAUUGGUUCUGCUUUUAUUCCAAAUUAAAAAUGGGCAGAAAGGGCCAUCUUUACCUUUUGGCCCAGUGAAUUGUGUGUAAACUGACCUGCAGAGACAGGGAGGGCACUGCUCUGUGGUACCGGCUUACAAACUGAGAGAUCAAAGUCAGCUUCUCCAUGUGUGAGGACAGAGUUUUAUAGUUUAUAAAUGUUAAGUUCACCUUUGUGGAGCAACCAUAACCUUCAGCUAUUAUUUAUAAAACUGUUAAUGGGAUAAAGCAGUCUGACAGUGCCUGUGGUUGACUGACAGUAUUGGUCUACGGGCAGAGUUCUUGCUGCAUUGUUAGGUGUGGUGUGAGGAAACACUGAACAGAUAGAGAAAGAGAAGAAAUAUCCUUUCACAAAAAGACUGGUCCAGUCGCCAAAUAAUAUUAAUUCACAAGCUAAGAACAGUUUUCCUACCCAAACCAAUGAGGGAUAUAAUAAUUGCAUUUUAGCUUAUUUGUGUCUGUCUGUCUAUCUGUCUGUCUGUGUAUAUAGAGGACAGAAGUCAGCUUCAUGUAUUGUUUGUUCCUCAGACACCAUCUUUUUAAAGACAAUGUCUCUCACUGGGACCUGGGAUUUGACAAAUAGUCCAAGUUGUCUGGGCAUCCAGCCCCAGAGAUUCACUGUGUCAAUUCCUCCCCACUGCUGGGUUUGCAGACACAGGACUUCUUACCGUAUUUUCACAUGUGUUUGCUGGAGAUCAGCCUCAGGUCCUCCAACACUUUAUAAACUGAGCUAUCUCCGUAUCCAAAGUUACCGAUCACUUCCAUCAUCAUUAUCAUCAUCAACAACAACAACAUCACCACCACCACCACCAUCACCAUCAUCACCAUCAUUGUUUAAGAAUGGAGUCUCAUUGUUGGCUUGGUGUUAGAUGGGAACCCUGACUUCCAGGUGAAAGAUGCCUGCCAAUUGAAUCUCAUCUCACCAGACAACAAAAGCAACAUGUAAGUCAAGAUCAGUUGGAGGUUGUCUUAAUCAGGGUUUCUAUUCCUGCACAAACAUCAUGACCAAGAAGCAAGUUGGGGAGGAAAGGGUUUAUUCGGCCUAAGCUUCCAUACUGCUGUUCAUCACUGAAGGAAGUCAGGAUUCCCCCUUGACCACUAAUUGAUAAAAUGCUUUACAGUUGGAUCUCAUGGAGGCAUUUCCUCAACUGAAGCUCCUUUCUCUGUGAUAACUCCAGCUGUGUCAAGUUGACACAAAACUAGCCAGUACAGAGGUCUUUUUUCUUUCUAC
ensembl:lincRNA Gm28818 predicted gene 28818